UAAGGGAAUUAUUGGGGGAGAUUGCUUAUAUCUUCAAUGUGACUUCAAGUCUAUCUUUUUAUACUUUAUUUGCAUUUAUUAGUGUUUAAUCCCACAGAAUGAUCCCAUUCUCCUAUUUUAAGUGUUCUAAUUCCCGCACACAAUUCCUCUACCUAUAGGUUCUAAAUUUAUAAUUGUAGGUUGAAAGAAUGGUUUUGUUCAUUCAACCCUAAGCAUUCAGUGGUUGCUACAUUCUUCAUGUUACAUUUUCUCAGUUCCUUAUGUUGGUUAACGUCUUACUGAUUAGGCUGAGAACUAGAAUUUCCAUCACAGUAGUACUCAUGCUGAGUAGUCACUGCUUAUUGAUUUGUCUGGUGGAAAACCUGAAGGUAGGACCUGUAUCAGUCAGGGUCUUAGCAGGGAACCCCUGUUUAAUCAAGUUAGGGCUUAAUGGGAGAUAAUUUUCUUUCCAGAGGUACAGGCAGGGUUAAUCACUCCAAUAAGGGAUGUUGAAGUAUCCAGGGUUUCGCUACAGUGGGAAGCUAUUAUUGCCCCUAGGCCUGAAGGUCGAUGACAAGGAAGUUACUAGAAUCUGGCAAGUGAUGGAGUGGAGCUAUAGCCAAGGGGCUGCCUGAGAGGAGCAGUGGCCAAAUGUGAUUGAGAAUUGCUGGUGAAAUGAUUCACCAACCACAGGAAGAGGCUGACCAUCAUAGACCACAUUUCAAUGACUUAUGUUUCAUUAAUGAGUCAUCAUCAAUUUCUCUUUCAUUUUGAUAGCCCCCUCUUAGGAUUCAGGUUUUGAGGUAACUCUUCUACUAGACAACAUUUUAAAGUAGUAACUAUUUUUCUCAUUGCUAUUAACCAAGCCACACAUUAAUGCCGAGCUUCUGUUAAGUAAAAAAUAACUAGGGAUACCAGACUGAGUUUUUCAGCCCAGUCAGAAGAAAAGCAAUUUGACAUACUGUUACCCUUUGCAGUCUUAGCAAGAGAAAGACAAUGCGCUUGUUUAUUGUCUAAAUUAGCACUUUGCCCCUGAUACUCCUCAAAGCUGAAAGACCCUCUAAGAUCAAGAACUGAUGAAGGCUAUAGAAAAAUGUGCUGCUCAAAAGGAGAUUUCCAUCUCGAAAAGGCAAAUUACUGGGAAAAAUGAAUCUGUUUUCUCUGCCAAGCAUUGGAGACAUAGAAGGAGACUGCCUCCUGCUGGGGUCAGUAUUUUCUGCAUCCCAUGAACGGAAGUGAGAACAGCCUUGGGAGCUAAUGCCGAAGGUGGGAGAAUCUGAUGCCCUCAGUCUCCAGUGAACUAAAGCUGAAGAAGACUCAGAUUUCUGACACAAUGGUAACACCUAUCCCUUCUGCCUGUGACUGCCAGGGCUUGCUGUAUGAUGAUAAGAAGAGAAUGUGACACAGAGGAAGGGGAAAAAGUCCAUCCCUCUGCCGCCUCCCUGCUUCAAGUUGUCCUGCCUUUCCCGACG
rnacentral:lncRNA from 1 species